UCUAGUUUUGGGGCCAUGGAGGAGCAGCUGCUCCCAUCGGAUCUGGGGAAGGAGGACGCUCACCACCACCACGCUGCUCAACCUCACCGCCAUGAUUAUGUUGCCAAGGUGACCUCUUUCUCCCCCUCUUCCUCUGUUCGUCUCGAUUCUUGGCUCCCUUCCCUCCCUGAUGCGGUUGGUUUCCUCACACGAGCAGACCACCAUAUGGUGGAGUCCUCUUCCACUCCGACGACUCCCACUGGUGGCCUCGGUUCUGCUUCCUCCCUGACAUUAGGCGGUAAGCCACUACUCUCUCUCUCUCUCUCUGCUUUGUGUCCACGGCCAGAGAGCCACGGUGAAAUUUUGUGCAGGCCAUCGAGCCAUAGGGUUUCGAGUUGUUUCAAGCCAAUUAAAACAUUCAUCCUGAGAUUGCGGGUGUGUAGUGUUCCCCUUGCCGGUGUGAUUGCCGACGUGGCCUGAAUAGCUUCGUCAGCAAGAAGAAAACUGAGAGAGAAGAGACUGAGUGGAAAGUUCAUAAAUGUUCAGUCAUUUUCAGUCUGCUCCCUUCACAAUGUUCAGUCAUUUUCAGUACUUUGCACAAAUGUUCUGGCCUGGCAAAUGAUUUUUGAUGUGCAAAAGGGUAGUUGCUUUUUGGCAUGGUCUUGGCGUAAAUAUUGAUCGUCAUACCUAGGAACAGAAAAAAAAGUUUUUCACAUUUUUUUUCUGCUGAAUCAUUAGCUCAUCAAGUUGUUUGCCCGUCACUCGCCUCUCUUGCUGUUUCAGCAUGAGGCACAAUCUGAAGUACUGAAAAUUAGUAAAUCAUGCGCAUUUAGUUUUAGCACUGAGUCUCAGAUCAUGCGUACAAAGUACUACUACUACUACUACUACUAGAACUAAUGGCGCUGGAGGUGUCUUGAUGCAUAUGUUGAACAUUUGGAAGAUUGCUUCGGAUAUCUAAAAAUCUAUAUUUCUUUCCAGCGCAAAAUCUAUCAAGUUCAUGUACUCAAUUACAACUGUCAUGUCGUGACUGUGGUGUCUGGACUUCUUGCACAAGCGCAGCCUCUAACCUAGUGAGCUCCUUUCCCCAAUUAGUUUUACUAGUCGUCAACCCGUGCAUCUGCACGGGCUAGCACUUGCAGUAUUUUUCGCAAGAGAGAGUUUGUAUGAAUUAUAAAAAAAACUCAUAUUGUUUUAGUAUUUGUCUUUAGAUAUGCAAAUAAAUUGUUUACCUUUAUUAGACAUAGACAGGAGGAGUCACAUACCUUCCUCCAAUUUGUAAUUAGAUCAUAUGUUCGUUACCUCUAAUACUCAACUGUGUCACAAUGUAUGCAUAUUUCGUUGUGUCAUAGGAUAGUACACCCUUAGAUUUAGACCGGAUUUGAAAAUAUGAGCAUGUGAUAUUACGGUCAGAUAAUUAGUGCAUCCAUGGAGAAAAAUAGUUGCAAAUGAAAAACUCAAUACAUGAUUCCUUUACUAAUUUUUGGAAGUCUAUAGAAGCCCCCAAAAUGAAAUGUGUUGGUGUCGCAUAUGUCGUACUUCUCCGGAUAACAAAACGAUUGAGCCUGAUUGAGUUAAUUUGAUCUUAAAAUAUGCAAAAUACACUGAUAAAACAUUUUACGGAUUAAUAUUGACAUAUACAACAUGCAUAAGUAGAAGUGCACUACAUGGAACAACAAUAAUAAUCCAGUUCCGUUUGAUUAAAAAUGAUGUUGAAAAUAGUGGAUCCCUGCACGGUGUUCUAGCGUUUCAUAUUCUCUCGGCCCAUUACAUUUUGCGAGGUUUAUUUUACUACCAUUUUUAGUGAUAGUGGAAACAUUUAACUGCAGUUUACAUGCUUCUCUAAACGUCUAGAUUUAUGCUUUCAACAUUGACGGGGAUAUUUUUUAUCAUUUUUUAAAGCAGUUGUACUUUGGAUACACGCUGAGUUUGCCGCAGUAAGUAUUCCUAUUUAUUGGUAUUUUUAAUAGUUAGUUUCACGUAUUUAUAAGGCCACAAAAAGGAUAUAAUCAUGCUUUAGAUACCGGUAAUUAUCAGCAACCCCACACUUGCAAACAAUCAGGAAUUCCUACUCAGGGAGUAUCAUGCAAAAUACUCCCUUUGUUUCUAAAUAUAAGUCCUUUGAGAGUUUUAAAUAGAAACUACAUAUGGAUGUAUAUAGACGUAUUUUAGAGUGUAGAUUAUCUUAUUUUGCUCCGUAUGUAGUUUAUAUUAGAAUCUCUAAAAAGACUUAUAUUUAGGAAUGGAGAUAGUAGGAGAGACCGUACCUCCCAAAACUACAGUGCAUGCAAGAGAAUUAAAAAAUUGUCUAAUACUUUGCAUGAACCAAACCUGCAUGAUGAUCUGUUUGCAUCUGGGACAUCGUAUGUAUUGUGCCAUGUAAGGUGUACCUCUGUGUCUAGUCUGAAGCCGGUAUUCCAGACAGCAUGGAGAAGACCAAUGAGUUCGAUGCCUUGGUGCAGCAGGAAAGGCCAAGCGACUGAAUCUUCAAAGGGAAGACGUGGAAGGCAUGGUAAAAUCUGUACGUGAUAGACAACAUGCAUGGACUCUCUAUGUAUUUGAUCCAACGCUUGUAAACAGAAAAUACAGAGAUUGAAUGGAUGGUUUGCUCU
rnacentral:lncRNA from 1 species